rnacentral:rRNA from 1 species
UGCUUCCAAGAAAAGCCCUAUACCCGUUAAGGCAUGAUGGCCUGUACCCGAAACCGACACAGGUGGGGUGGUAGAGAAUACCGAGGGGCGCGAGGUAACUCUCUCUAAGGAACUCGGCAAAAUGGCCCCGUAACUUCGGGAGAAGGGGUGCCACCGCAAGGUGGUCGCAGUGAAGAGGCCCAGGCGACUGUUUACCAAAAACACAGGUCUCCGCUAAGUCGCAAGACGAUGUAUGGGGGCUGACGCCUGCCCAGUGCCGGAAGGUUAAGGAAGCUGGUCAGCGUAAGCGAAGCUAGCGACUGAAGCCCCGGUGAACGGCGGCCGUAAUAAUAACGGUCCUAAGGUAGCGAAAUUCCUUGUCGGGUAAGUUCCGACCCGCACGAAAGGCGUAACGAUCUGGGCGCUGUCUCGGAGAGAGGCUCGGCGAAAUAGAAUUGUCUGUGAAGAUGCGGACUACGUGCACCCGGACAGAAAGACCCUAUGAAGCUUUACUGUAGCUUGGUAUUGUGCUCGGGCUCGGAAUGCGCAGGAUAGGUGGGAGGCUAUGAACCAUUGCUUGUGGGUGAUGGUGAGCCACUGGUGAGAUACCACUCUUUCCGAGCUAGAGUUCUAACAGCCACCCGUUAUCCGGGGGCUGGACAGUAUCAGGUGGGCAGUUUGACUGGGGCGGUCGCCUCCUAAAAGGUAACGGAGGCGCGCAAAGGUUUGCCCAGGCUGGUUGGAAAUCAGCCGACGAGUGUAAAAGCAGAAGCAAGCUUGACUGUGAGACCUACAAGUCGAACAGGGAGGAAACUCGGCUUUAGUGAUCCGACGGUUCUGCGUGGAAGGGCCGUCGCUCAACGGAUAAAAGUUACUCUAAGGAUAACAGGCUGAUCUCCCCCAAGAGUUCACAUCGACGGGGAGGUUUGGCACCUCGAUGUCGGCUCAUCGCAACCUGGGGCUGAAGUCGGUCCCAAGGGUUGGGCUGUUCGCCCAUUAAAGCGGUACGCGAGCUGGGUUCAGAACGUCGUGAGACAGUUCGGUCCAUAUCCGGUGCAUGCGCAGGAAUAUUGAGAGGAUUUCUCCCUAGUACGAGAGGACCGGGAGGAACGCACCUCUGGUGUACCAGUUAUCGUGCCAACGGUAAACGCUGGGUAGCCAUGUGCGGAGAGGAUAACCGCUGAAAGCAUCUAAGUGGGAAGCCCACCUCAAGAUGAGUAUUCCCAUGGGGUAACCCAGUAAGGUCACGGGAAGAACACCCGUUGAUAGGCUCUACGUGGAAGCGCAGUAAUGUGUGAAGCGGAGGAGUACUAAUAGACCGAGGGCUUGAC